rnacentral:rRNA from 1 species
AUUGAACGCUGGCGGCAGGCCUAACACAUGCCAGUCGAGCGGAUGAAGGGAGCUUGCUCCUGGAUUCAGCGGCGGACGGGUGAGUAAUGCCUAGGAAUCUGCCUGGUAGUGGGGGAUAACGUCCGGAAACGGGCGCUAAUACCGCAUACGUCCUGAGGGAGAAAGUGGGGGAUCUUCGGACCUCACGCUAUCAGAUGAGCCUAGGUCGGAUUAGCUAGUUGGUGGGGUAAAGGCCUACCAAGGCGACGAUCCGUAACUGGUCUGAGAGGAUGAUCAGUCACACUGGAACUGAGACACGGUCCAGACUCCUACGGGAGGCAGCAGUGGGGAAUAUUAGACAAUGGGCGAAAGCCUGAUCCAGCCAUGCCGCGUGUGUGAAGAAGGUCUUCGGAUUGUAAAGCACUUUAAGUUGGGAGGAAGGGCAGUAAGUUAAUACCUUGCUGUUUUGACGUUACCAACAGAAUAAGCACCGGCUAACUUCGUG